rnacentral:lncRNA from 1 species
CCUAGUGCCUCCAGAAAGAACGCAGCCCUACUGACACCUUGGUUUUGGCCUGGUGAGACCAACUUUGGACUUUUCACUUCCAAAACUGUUUAAAGAAAAAAGUCUACAGUUCCAGUUAGUCUACUUUUGUAACAGGACCUGACAACUCCACUCUACUUCCAAUCCUGAAAGACUACAGGAAAAACUAGCCCAAGUGACUGAGCUGGGGGGUCCCAGUCAUCGGUAGCAUGGAAAACGAAGAGUGCUCUGGACAGUGGGUGGAGAAGAUUCAAGUACAUCUUCCUUGCUGACAAUAUGCUCUCCUAUCUUUUGUAAGAGUACACAAUUUAAAUUUCUAAAAAUUCAUUACAAUACAAAGCAAAACAAUCCCUCGUAGAUUUAUAAUCAAACUAAUAUGCCACUUAGAAAAGAUUUGAAAUAAAUGCAAAUACCUAGGUACAA